rnacentral:rRNA from 1 species
UACGUAGGGUGCAAGCGUUGUCCGGAAUUAUUGGGCGUAAAGAGCUCGUAGGCGGUUCGUCGCGUCGGCUGUGAAAACCCGGAGCUCAACUCCGGGCCUGCAGUCGAUACGGGCGGACUAGAGUUCGGCAGGGGAGACUGGAAUUCCUGGUGUAGCGGUUGAAAUGCGCAGAUAUCAGGAGGAACACCGGUGGCGAAGGCGGGUCUCUGGCCGAUACUGACGCUGAGGAGCGAAAGCGUGGGAGCGAACAGG